UGGGGAAUAUUGGACAAUGGGCGAAAGCCUGAUCCAGCCAUGCCGCGUGUGUGAAGAAGGUCUUCGGAUUGUAAAGCACUUUAAGUUGGGAGGAAGGGCAGUAAGCGAAUACCUUGCUGUUUUGACGUUACCGACAGAAUAAGCACCGGCUAACUCUGUGCCAGCAGCCGCGGUAAUACAGAGGGUGCAAGCGUUAAUCGGAAUUACUGGGCGUAAAGCGCGCGUAGGCGGCUAAUUGAGUCGGAUGUGAAAUCCCCGAGCUUAACUUGGGAAUUGCAUUCGAUACUGGUUAGCUAGAGUGUGGGAGAGGAUGGUAGAAUUCCAGGUGUAGCGGUGAAAUGCGUAGAGAUCUGGAGGAAUACCGAUGGCGAAGGCAGCCAUCUGGCCUAACACUGACGCUGAGGUACGAAAGCAUGGGGAGCAAACAGG
rnacentral:rRNA from 1 species